UAGCGAAAUCACUUGUCUUUUAAAUGAAGACCUGUAUGAAUGGCCCCACGAGGGCUUGACUGUCUCCUUCCCCCAGUCAAUGAAAUUAAACUUCCCGUGCAGAUGCGGGAAUAAGCGCAUAAGACGAGAAGACCCUUUGGAGCUUCAGACCCUAAAUAAGCUAUGUUAAACACCCUGCACCCAGAAAAAACAUAGUAGUUUUAUUCAAGGGUCUUAGGUUGGGGCGACCACGGAGUAAAAUAUAUCCUCCACGAAGAAGGGGCCUCUAUAAGCCCUAAAUCCCCGAUAAUCACAUCUAAGAAACAGAAUUUCUGACUUUAUUAGAUCCGGUUAAGACCGACUAACGAACCAAGUUACCCUAGGGAUAACAGCGCAAUCCUCUCCUACAGCCCAUAUCGACGAGGGGGUUUACGACCUCGAUGUUGGAUCAGGGCGUCCUAAUGGUGCAGCAGCUAUUAAGGGUUUGUUUGUUCAACAAUUAAAGCCCUACGUGAUCUGAG
rnacentral:rRNA from 1 species